GACGAACGCUGGCGGCGUGCCUAAUACAUGCAAGUUGAGCGCUGAAGGUUGGUACUUGUACCGACUGGAUGAGCAGCGAACGGGUGAGUAACGCGUGGGGAAUCUGCCUUUGAGCGGGGGACAACAUUUGGAAACGAAUGCUAAUACCGCAUAAAAACUUUAAACACAAGUUUUAAGUUUGAAAGAUGCAAUUGCAUCACUCAAAGAUGAUCCCGCGUUGUAUUAGCUAGUUGGUGAGGUAAAGGCUCACCACGGCGAUGAUACAUAGCCGAGCUGAGAGGGUGAUCGGCCACAUUGGGACUGAGACACGGCCCAAACUCCUACGGGAGGCAGCAGUAGGGAAUCUUCGGCAAUGGACGAAAGUCUGACCGAGCAACGCCGCGUGAGUGAAGAAGGUUUUCGGAUCGUAAAACUCUGUUGGUAGAGAAGAACGUUGGUGAGAGUGGAAAGCUCAUCAAGUGACGGUAACUACCCAGAAAGGGACGGCUAACUACGUGCCAGCAGCCGCAGUAA
rnacentral:rRNA from 1 species